rnacentral:misc_RNA from 2 species
AACGCACCUUGCACUCUUUGGUAUUCCGAAGAGUAUGCCUGUUUGAGUGUCGUGAAACUCUCAACCCCCCUAUUUUGUAAUGAGAUAGGUUGUGGGCUUGGAUUAUGGUUGUCUGUCGGACCUCUUUACUGAGCCGGCUCAGCUGAAAUAUACGAGCGACCCAAUCUUCAUAUGGAUGUAACGACGGCUUGACUCGGCGUAAUAAUACUUUUCGCUGAGGACGUUGUAGCUUUCCAGCUUGACAAUUGACGCUUCUAAUGCGACUUUAAUUAGUCAUUUACACUCUAGACCUCAAAUCAGGCAGGACUACCCGCUGAACUUAA